rnacentral:rRNA from 1 species
GUUAGGAAUAUUCGUCAAUGGGGGAAACCCUGAACGAGCAAUGCCGCGUGAAGGAUGACGGUCCUCUGGAUUGUAAACUUCUGUUGUUAGGGAAGAACGACCUAAGUAGGAAAUGACUUAGGAGUGACGGUACCUUUCAAGAAAGCUCCGGCUAACUACGUGCCAGCAGCCGCGGUAAUACGUAGGGAGCAAGCGUUAUCCGGAUUUAUUGGGUGUAAAGGGUGCGUAGGCGGCUUUUUAGGUCUAAGGUUUAAGCCCGGAGCUUAACUCCGGUUCGCCUUAGAAACCGAUUCGCUUGAGUAUGGUAGAGGCAAGUGGAAUUUCUAGUGUAGCGGUAAAAUGCGUAGAUAUUAGAAGGAACACCAGUGGCGAAGGCGACUUGCUGGGCCAUUACUGACGCUGAGGCACGAAAGCGUGGGGAGCAAAUAGGA